AUUGAACGCUGGCGGCAUGCCUUACACAUGCAAGUCGAACGGCAGCAUGAUCUAGCUUGCUAGAUUGAUGGCGAGUGGCGAACGGGUGAGUAAUACAUCGGAACGUGCCCUGGAGUGGGGGAUAACUAGUCGAAAGAUUAGCUAAUACCGCAUACGACCUGAGGGUGGACGUGGGGGACCGCAAGGCCUCAUGCUAUAGGAGCGGCCGAUGUCUGAUUAGCUAGUUGGUGGGGUAAAGGCCCACCAAGGCGACGAUCAGUAGCUGGUCUGAGAGGACGAGCAGCCACGCUGGGACUGAGACACGGCCCAGACUCCUACGGGAGGCAGCAGUGGGGAAUUUUGGACAAUGGGGGCAACCCUGAUCCAGCAAUGCCGCGUGUGUGAAGAAGGCCUUCGGGUUGUAAAGCACUUUUGUCCGGAAAGAAAUCGCACUUACUAAUAUUAGGUGUGGAUGACGGUACCGGAAGAAUAAGGACCGGCUAACUACGUGCCAGCAGCCGCAGUAA
rnacentral:rRNA from 1 species